AAUCAACGCUGGCGGCGUGCCUCAGACAUGCAAGUCGAACGCGAAAGGUUCCUUCGGGGACCGAGUAGAGUGGCGCACGGGUGAGUAACACGUAGGUAAUUUGCCUUUGGGUGGGGAAUAACUCAGGGAAACUUGAGCUAAUACCGCAUAAUGCAGCGGCUCGACAUCGAGACAGUUGUUAAAGCGGGGGAUUCGCAAGAACCUCGCGCCUAAAGAGAAGCCUGCGGCAGAUAGCUAGUUGGUAAGGUAAUGGCUUACCAAGGCGACGAUCUGUAACCGGCCUGAGAGGGCGGUCGGUCACACUGACACUGACAUACGGGUCAGACUCCUACGGGAGGCAGCAGUCGGGAAUUUUGGGCAAUGGGCGAAGGCCUGACCCAGCAACGCCGCGUGAAGGAUGAAAUUUUCGGAAUGUAAACUUCGCAAGAACAGGAAGAAUAA
rnacentral:rRNA from 1 species